rnacentral:rRNA from 1 species
UACAGAGGCCUCGAGCGUUAAUCGGAAUCACUGGGCUUAAAGGGUGCGUAGGCGGUCAGCACAAGUCAGUUGUGAAAUCUCCGGGCUUAACUCGGAAAGGUCAACUGAUACUGUGCGACUAGAGUGCAGAAGGGGCAACUGGAAUUCUCGGUGUAGCGGUGAAAUGCGUAGAUAUCGAGAGGAACACCUGCGGCGAAGGCGGGUUGCUGGGCUGACACUGACGCUGAGGCGCGAAAGCCAGGGGAGCGAACGGG